rnacentral:lncRNA from 1 species
GUGUGUGUCUAAAUGUGUUCUAGCAUCUGAAAGUUUCUUUUUGCAGACUUAUACCAUGAUGUCAUCCUAUACCCAUGUCCAAGUGUUGGGUGCGAGUAUUUUGAAUAAAUCGAAGGGCCUGGGUAACAUAUCUCUUAUAUAGGUAUAAUUUGGUUUGAUAGAGCUACUCCUAAAUUGAUGUUUUAGUUAUCAUUUUCAAAAGCCCAAUCAGCUGCUGAAACAGCUACCAUAUAGCCCUUUUGGGCCAAGAAUUGCUAAUGUCUAUAAAAGCACUUUGUUUUUGCAAAUCAUAAAAGAACGUUCAAGCCUUUCUACUAGCCACAUUCUUGUGUUUCUCUCAGUACCUGUGUUUUUCUAUGAUCCAGUGAUUGUCUCACUGCUAGGAUUUUCUGAUUUGUAGGUGACAUAACUAGUUGAAUAUUUUUGUUGAAGUAACAACACAUUGGAGUGGAAUAGUCUACUCUUUUAUGGCAUCUACCUUUUCUUUGCUUUUUUCCUUCUGACUUAAUUAAAACCAACUUGUUUAUUUCCCAAAUAACAAGGGUCUGCUGUACUUAACCAGUCGCAUUGUGCACAUAGGGUGGCAUGAAAUCUCAAAGUUCUACGAUUUGUUUCCAGUAAAUGGGUAAUUUUCCUGUUAUUGUAUCUAAGCUACAUCAUCAUCACAGUGACCAUAAAAGUAAGGCGUACUUGUGUAUGCAUAUAUUGAAUAUUAUAAGCUGAGUUUUCUUUAUUCUUGUUGCAGGAUGGCAAGUCUGUGCAACAGACUGACAUCAAUGUCACAGCUUCACAACCUGCCCAGCUUCAACUCUCAGAAUCAAGUGGCGACGUGCCUGAAAAUACGCUAACAGGAGGAAACAACAGUGGCCGGUCGGCUUCAGAUGGGCGCAGCCAACGAUCUGUUGAAGUAAGAGAAAAGAAAAGAAUUCCAAAUUUGGGAAGUGGGAAGGGCAGCAUGGUCCUGCCCAAGGGAAGAGGACCUUCAGGCCCUGGCUGGACUGGGGCUGGAUUUGAUGUUGGUAAUGGUACGUGAUGGUAGGGUAAUUUCAGAUUCCCCAUUGCAGCAUCAAACGGGUGUCGGCAGGAUACAACUUGGAAAUUUCUUGAGGCAUCCUUCAUUCUUAUUGUUUUCAGUUAUCACCGUCAUCAUUUUUUUUCUUUUCUCAGCUCAUUUGCUGUUUUCAGUGAAGAUGAUUAGAGAUAUAUUACACAGCAUUCCUGGCAGAUCUUGGACAUUCUUUAACAGCGUAUUGUCCUUCCAUCCUAAUUGAUUCUUCGUGUGUAUAAAGAGAAGGAAAAAAAGGCUUAUCCACGAAAGCCUGUGUGUAUUCUAGACUCUAGCUGCAUGCUGGUGACUUGGACUUUGAUUGUGAGGCCCAAAGGGUUAAGCAAUUCCAUGGAUGUUCUGAUGGCUCUUAUUCCAUGGAUGGCCAAGGGUUAAGCAAUUCCAUGGAUCUUCACUAUGAUUCACAGGGGAAUUGGAGAGCGAUAAUGAGAAAUAUGUGGUCGAGGCAACAUCACCAUGCCUUCCACCCCUUUCUCCUCCUGCAAUGCACGCAUAAAGACCGGGCCAUCCCUGGGCCCACCUUUGCGUGGGAUGAAGCCAACAACAAAAACACAGAUCUUGGGCUGAUUUUGUUAUCGGCUUCAUGCCACGCCAAGGUGAAAUGAGAGAUUGUAUUAACGUAGUGACAAGUGAGGAUCACAGCUCCAGUGGGAGCGUAGCUGGGGGAUAUAUUUAUGCAUCUGUGAAGGAUAUAGCUGGUGCAUCAAUUCGCAGUGCUAACAAUCAACAAGAUCGAGAAUAAAAUCGGUAGAUUCUAAUAAAGUAAACUAGUAAUUAGUUGUAUAAUAUAGCUUCUGAUCCGAAUUCUUAGCACAUCCCUCUUGCCAUCCUCUGGUCUGAACAAUGAUUUAGGGCAUCUCAUGUUCCUCUAGUGUGUGAUCUCCAUAAUUCGCAGCUGGAACGAUAUCGACCCUGCAAGAAAACUUAAUUGGUGUUACAGAAUCAGUUGAUGGUUAUUUUGAUGACAACGGUUCUCCAAAGAACAGCUUUAGAAGCAUUUUUUGAAUCAAUCACCAAAGUUGUCUACCUUCUUUUAUGCCUUAUUCUUUUUUUUUAAUACAAAAAUAAUAAUAAGUCCUUCCGGUCUACUUCUCUUUCCAAUACAAAAGUAGUGUGUCUCCAUCAUUGAGUGGGUUUUCCUUGCACCAACAUGCAACAUGAUCUGACCAACUCCAACCUCUCAUGCAAGGGCCACUUAGUUUUCAGCUACAGCCGCACCAUAAGUGGUAGAGUGUGGUUCAGGUGACAUGUAGGCCAAGGAAUCCUGCACUCCUAUUCGCGAGACAUGCCCCUUUCGUCAUAUAAUGCGGAACCACGUGAAGUAAAGAUGGAACUCCAGUUUUUGGUGGGGUUGAUAUAUGGAGCCAGGGGAAGAGAGACCUAUCUUUAGUGACGCACUAUCUUGCAUUGAUUGCAUCAUCAUCCACCCCAUAGAAAUUGGUUGUUAGAAAUCCAAUAAUUUCACAUUAUUUCAUACACAAGUCCAAUAAAGGCCCCAUCCCUUGGAACUUAGGUCACACACAACUAGAGAACUUAUAUCCUACACAGCAUUAUGCACCAUAUGACCGUACAUGCCGCCAAUCAAAGCCAGUUAUCCUUGUAGAUUCUAUUUAUCAUGCGCUCGUCUCGGUGAGCUGCUGCAAAAAUGAUUGGCUAUAAUUAGUAGCGUGCACGGCCAUAUAGUGUUUUUCUAUGCAACCUGUUGCGUGCUUCAUGUAAUUUUAUUGCAUCCCCCAACAAAAUUUUGCCCACGUGGAUGUGUCAUCUCAUGAUUCCUAGGUUUCAGGAAUCUCACUAUCCAUCUAAUUAAUAUGUGUUUUCCAGCAGAGCAGCAACCUUGACUGUUGUCACUUUUUUUUUUUUGUUUUAUACCAAAUUAUCCCUCAGGGGAUUGCCAUAUUAGCAGGCACCUUCUCUUCUCCUACUUCCUGUUCAUGGAGUUUUUGAAAAGUCAAUGCCAUAUUCGGCCACUUAUGGGCAAGGGCUUAUGCGCUGAUGGGCUCUUGCCUGAUUGGUCAUGUUCGCACAAAAGAAGAUAUUGCGUGUCGUUAGUUGCAUCCUACAUGUAAGCAUAAGCUCAAGCACACAAGUGGUUGCGCAUGAGUAUAGAAGUAAUCUUCCAAUAAUUUUUACCAAAAAAACCAUUCAAUAGUACAUACAUACUUGCAUGCAUAUAUACAUUUGUACACACACACACACACACACACACACACACACAUAUAUAUAUAUAUAUAGUANNNNNNNNNNNNNNNNNNNNNNNNNNNNNNNNNNNNNNNNNNNNNNNNNNNNNNNNNNNNNNNNNNNNNNNNNNNNNNNNNNNNNNNNNNNNNNNNNNNNNNNNNNNNNNNNNNNNNNNNNNNNNNNNNNNNNNNNNNNNNNNNNNNNNNNNNNNNNNNNNNNNNNNNNNNNNNNNNNNNNNNNNNNNNNNNNNNNNNNNNNNNNNNNNNNNNNNNNNNNNNNNNNNNNNNNNNNNNNNNNNNNNNNNNNNNNNNNNNNNNNNNNNNNNNNNNNNNNNNNNNNNNNNNNNNNNNNNNNNNNNNNNNNNNNNNNNNNNNNNNNNNNNNNNNNNNNNNNNNNNNNNNNNNNNNNNNNNNNNNNNNNNNNNNNNNNNNNNNNNNNNNNNNNNNNNNNNNNNNNNNNNNNNNNNNNNNNNNNNNNNNNNNNNNNNNNNNNNNNNNNNNNNNNNNNNNNNNNNNNNNNNNNNNNNNNNNNNNNNNAACAAACAUACAUACAUACAUACAUACAUGUAUGUAUAUAUAGAUAGAUAUAGGUAUGUAUGCAUGUAUAUAUAUGUGUGUGCGCGUAUAUAUAUAUAUGUAUAUGCAUGUAGAGAGAGAGAGAGAGAGAGCUAGAUUUGGCUGUACUCGAAUGAAUCCUUACCCAGAUUAGAUCAGAUCUAAUUUGGAUAAUAAAGAUGUCACAUCAAUAAUCUGAGCUAUUGGAUAUGGCAUGCUCUCCUUCCACUCAAUUAACAAUAUUUACAAAAAAAGCAGAAAAUAGUCCACUUUGGCUUGUUGUAUGCAAUUUACAUCUGUUUGGUAAUAAUAACUCUACUUCCGUUAUUCAAAACUUUGAGAUUUGUAUUUGGCUACUCACUCCUCUAAGCGCCAUCAUAUAAUUUUAAUAAAAUUACACAUCAAAACGAAGAAUCUCGAGUACUAUAUAUGUGUUUGAGUACGCUGAAAAUGAACUAAAGCUUCUUCAAGGAAGCGGACAUAACUCGUCCUCUAUCACAUUUUGAUACGGCAAUCUAUGUUGAAAGCAACCUUUCAAUUUGCAUCAAAAAAAACAAGCAAAAUGCUUCUCAUCACAUACUGCCAUGUCAAUUUAUCAAGAAAUAUAUAUGCACAAAAGUCAUUGCCCAUAAUCAUUUGGCUAUAUAUUUUCUCAUAUCUAAACUUAUGAGUAUAAAAAAAUAUAGAUAUCAAAGUCAAGAUGAAAAUGAGUGUCGUGAUAGCUUGGCCAUUCACAGGGCAUGGCAUCAGGAUAGGACAGAGUGAUGCCCCUCGAAGUUGUUCGAGUUUGGAAGGUGGUUCCUGCUGCCACUAGGAUGGCAAGAGGCCAAAUCCGGCCACCACUUCGUACCUGAGCCCACGAAUUAAUAUAAAAGAGGCGUUGCUUCCUUAUUAGUUGUUUAAAAAAAAAAAUGGGGCUUGGUGCCAAAGGGGUGUGAAAUAUGGUUCGACGAUGCUUUUGAGUGGGUGAGAGAAAGGAGAGGGAGAAAAAAAAAAAAAGAGUAAGAGAAAAAAAGAAGAGGGAGAGAGAGGAUGGGGGCGAGGGAGACGAGAAGGAGAGAUGGAAAAGGAAAAACUAUUUGGGAUCCGUAGGAACUUUAAUGGCAGCAUGGCGGUAGAUGGGAGGUUCGAAGGUGUUGGAUUCGUGAUUAGAGAUCACUGCGGUAGUUUGGUCGCAGCAGGAGGUCGCCGCACGCCAGGCCUUACCGUAGUUGGGGUAGAGCUUCGCGCUGUCUAGAAGGAAAUUUCAUAUGCGAGGCGGGCGCUUGGCGCUGAGGGGUCACUACAUAAGAAAGGAUAUCUCCCGAUGGUUUUUUUGGUCUCUACCGACGCUUUUAAGCGUCGGCGGAUUUCCAGCCCACGCACCACAAAGCGUGGGUCAGACGUCGGGCAGGUGGGCGUGGGUCCGGUUUUUGCCGACGCUAAGAGAAAGCAUCGGCAAAAACAGGACUUUCCCGAUGCUAAUGAAAGCGUCGCGAAAGUACUCAACGCCGAUGCUUAUAAGCGUCGACGUUAGCAACCUGUUUUUAAAAAAAAAAAUUAAAAAAGAAAGAGGGGAACCAGGGGCUCGCCGGCCUGGAAGGAGAGCUGAUGGAGGAGGAGGAUGAUCUCAAUGUCGUCGAUCAUCGAGAUCCUCUUGACUGGUAGAGCUCCAUCCGACCUCUGGCCUCCGGCAAGGAGGAGUCCACCUUGGAGUCCUGCACCAAGUGCCCCUGCUUCGAAGCCCAGGCGAUCCGGAGGAGCUGGUCGACGACCGCCUUGGCGGCAGGCGAGGUGGGCUUGAAGGCGGAGUGGCGGAGGUCGGGGUUGUGCUCGGCGACGCGGGCCCGCCGCCUCCUCCUCCUCCUCCUCGAUCGUGUUCAGAUCGAUCUCCNNNNNNNNNNNNNNNNNNNNNNNNNNNNNNNNNNNNNNNNNNNNNNNNNNNNNNNNNNNNNNNNNNNNNNNNNNNNNNNNNNNNNNNNNNNNNNNNNNNNNNNNNNNNNNNNNNNNNNNNNNNNNNNNNNNNNNNNNNNNNNNNNNNNNNNNNNNNNNNNNNNNNNNNNNNNNNNNNNNNNNNNNNNNNNNNNNNNNNNNNNNNNNNNNNNNNNNNNNNNNNNNNNNNNNNNNNNNNNNNNNNNNNNNNNNNNNNNNNNNNNNNNNNNNNNNNNNNNNNNNNNNNNNNNGGUGAAGGAGGGAUCGGGGGAGUUGGGCCCCUUUUGGCCUCCGACGACGCUUUAAAGCGUCGUCGUCUCUAAAAUCGGGGGACCCGCUGGAUGAAGGAGGGAUCGGGGAAGUUGGGCCCCUUUUGGCCUCCGAUGACGCUUUAAAGCGUCGUCGUCUCUAAAUUUCACCCGACCCUAUCAAAAAGCGUCGUCGAGUUUCGACCCCCGCUCGAAAUUCGCCGACGCUUUUUGAUAGCGUCGGCGGGGAAGAGUCGGCAAAUUAAUAUUUUUUUGUAGUGGGUGUACGUUGAGGGGGAUUCUUCUAUGGUGAUCGAGUGGAUCCGGGGUGCGGACAGAUAUGGAGAUGGUCAUCCGCUCAUUCGCGAAACACGCAAGUUGGCUUUGGAACUGGGUGAGCUUCGAAUAGCACAUAUUUAUCGGAAGGCGAAUAGGGCUGCAGAUUGGGUCGCCUCCUAUGUUGCACGACAUUCUGGGGAGUUCUUAUGUACGCCUUCCGUAGAACUCCCGUCUUCACUGUAUUCUUUACUUUUUUUUUUUGAUUUGGCAGGAUGUAUUCAGAUUAGAGCUAUAUGAAUUGUCGUUUUUAUUAAAAAAAAAAAAACUAUUUUUUUGAAGUUUUAUCUUGAUAUAUCGGUGGCCUUUCGAUCGAUAACAUACUUCUUCUAUGCUAGAUUUCUUGAAACACUAUUUUCUUGUAUUUUUUUUUGGCUUAAUUUCUCUUGAUGAACUCUUCUAAAAGGUCAUGUACUUUAUUAUGGUGGAUCUCUUACUUUCUCCAUGGACGUAUAUAGACUGCAGGUUAGGUAAACUAUAUUAAAUCUUGGUGUACCUUGCUAGUUUAAUUUUCUAUGAUGUUUUAAUUAUUUAUUCAAUUAUUCUUGGAGCUAUAGUAAUUAGCAUAAGAGUCUGAAGUUAACGUAUGGAAAACAAUAGAUUGUUUGUGAUAACAAGUAAAGAUUUCAUGACUUGAAAAGGAAACAACUUGGCACUUUGAAGGCCAAAGUUAUAGGCCAUGCUGGUGAAGGAUGGGUGCGAUAUGAUAUUUGAUGGGACAAUGCAGAAAUCUGCCACUAUAACCGGUGAAAAGUUUUCUAAGUUGGAUAAGAUGGUAAUAGUCAAUCUUCAUCUAGCAGGCAAGUUGAUGAAUCGGUCUUUUUUUUUGGUGAAAAAAUCAGUCUUAUUCAAUAUUUCUUCGACGCCACUGGAUCUUUAUAUUAUCUAGGCAAUAAAAGCCAGACGAAGAAUGUUAGAAAAGUGGCUAGCUCCUGUUGCCACUAGGAUAGCAAGAGGCCAAGUCUGGUUAGGGGAGUUGGCACUUGGACCUCACCUAAACGCAAGUUUAGCUCCUGUAAAACACACCAGGCAUAAUGAAGGCCGCCCAAGCAGCCCUCAGCUCCACACCUCGGAAGCGAUAUGCCAAAGAGUUGACUGCCCCUACAGCCACGACUUUGGCAGAUGGGUUCUGAAUAAUGAAACUCGCGUCGUCCCUCGUACCUCUGUCCAAGACAGAUCCAUCGAAGUUGACCUUGAAGAAACUCAGGGAUGAGGAACUUCCGGAUGAAAAAACAUCGUACGAGAUGCUACCGAAACAGAAUGGAAACUCCAGAUGUCCCAAGCUAUCAAGGUCCCUCCGACAGGUAUGAUGUGACUAAUCUUCGCUGCCUGCACACGGGUACUCUCUACCACAAGUCUCGAUGAUAUAUUGCGUUCGUCAAAGGUUUAGGCGUUCCUUGCUUCUUUAUUGUUAUAAAAGAAGUGAUCUUGUGGCUAAAAGGAUGCCAAACAAGCUCCUGACGGCACUUUUGGUGGGGUGCGAGAAAAUAUGAAGGAAAGAGGAGAAGAGCGAAUGACGAAAAAAAAAAAUUUUUAGAAGUUUUAUCCCGAUCUCCAUAUCUAAGUGUAAUCUCUUCUUCAAUUUACCUUUAUUGUAUGUUUUUCGAAUUGUUUUCUCUAGAUGAACUUUUGCGAAAGGGCCCACACUCUAUUAAUUAUAGUAGACCUUUCUCUCCCCCAAUGCAUACAGUUUGAAUUUUGGAUGAAUCAUGUAUCGUGCCAUUUUCAUAUCUAUUAAUUUUUUUUAUUAUUUCAUUCAACUGUCUGAGGUUGCAACACUUGAGCCAAAAAUAUUAUUAACCAAACACACUAUUAGAAUAAUUUUAGAUAUCACGUAACAACAUAUAUUAGCCCAUAUUAUCUUUUUUUAUCAGUCAGUAUUAUUUAUUUUAUUAGCAUGAUGUUGUAUUAAUUAGUAUUAUUUUUUAUUAGUAUAAUCUUAUAUAUGAGUAUAUAUCCCUUAAAAUAUACCGAACAUGAUGGAACACAGAAAUAAAAUUAUUUUUUUACUCUCUUUUAUUUUUUUAUAAAUAUUUUGACAGAUAUCGAAUUUUUUUGUUUCUUCUGUGCAUCUAAGAAUGAUUCGUCUUUUUUUUUUUUGCUUUGGCAGGUUUCUCAUACAAUACAUGUACGGAUACAUUCAAUAAAAUCAAGAAACAAAAGAUUACGGAGUGCCUGAGGCAACUCCCCCUCUCCGGCCCACAAGAUGAUUUUAGGAUGAUUAAACACAUAAGUGGCCAAUCAAUCUGCAGUUCCGUUGGCUUCUCUAAAAAACUAUUAGUUUGAAAAGUUCCACCAUCCCUUAUUAUCAUCCAGAUAAGCAAAGAGUGGUUCGAGCUCCCACUUUUGAGACUUUUAUGAUCUAAACUGAUCAUCGUGGUCAAGUCAUCCUUCAGAGUAAUCAGCUGAUUUCCUUUCUUUUUCGGCAUCCACCGUUGGGAUCGUGCAAUGGCUGGAAUCCAAGAAGAUCGAAGGGAAGCAGCAAGUGGUGGAACUUUGCCUCGGUCUGGACCCUGCGCACGGGGUUCUGAAAGCGGUCAGUUCACCUAAAGCGAGAAGAGUCCCCGAGUUGGGCACCCCACAACCGAUCCUAGCUCUCUUUUCAAGUACAACCAUCCUACACUAGUUGUUGUCCCUCGCUCCAGCCUUCAGCUGCCAUCUUCGGUACGGAAGACUUCAUCUCAUGAACUCUGAUGGCAUUACCACUUCAUUUCCUUCGAAAAGAAUGGGGUGGGGUGGGGUGGGGUGGGGUGCAUCCACACGGCCUGCCCCCCCCGCCCCACCACCCAACACCAACGACAAAACUGUAGGAGUAAAAAUAUAAAGGGGACUUCAUACGCAGGCUCUCACUUAUUUGAUACAUCGGUUUUCGGAGCAGAGCUGCAUACAGUCUGGGCAGAUCUUCGUCAUGCACGAAUAAUAUUGCGGGCCAGCUUGAUUAUGUUGGAGGGUGACUCGGCCUCUGUCAUCGGGUAGAUUCAGAGAAGGUUGAGGGGUGAGGGCACAGACAUUCUCUUGAUCCGCGAUAUCGUGGUGAUGAUGAAAGAUGGGAUGGCCAUCCAGGCCAAGCAUAUAUUUAGAGAGGCCAAUGGGGCAGCCAAUUGGGUGGAUGCCUACGUGGCCCACCACUCGGGAUAUGCCCUCUGGUCGGGGGAGGGGGAGUUGCCAUUGGCACUCCGUGAGUUAUUGUAUUUUGAUCUUAUUGGGUGUAUUCAUAUACGUACUGUAUGAAGCGUCUGCUUUUAGACAAAAAAAUAUAAUAAUAAAUAAAUAAAUAAAUAAAUAAAUAAAUAAAUAAAGAGGACUUACUUGCCUAAGCUUCUCUCUCUCUCUCUCUCUCUCUCUCUNNNNNNNNNNNNNNNNNNNNNNNNNNNNNNNNNNNNNNNNNNNNNNNNNNNNNNNNNNNNNNNNNNNNNNNNNNNNNNNNNNNNNNNNNNNNNNNNNNNNNNNNNNNNNNNNNNNNNNNNNNNNNNNNNNNNNNNNNNNNNNNNNNNNNNNNNNNNNNNNNNNNNNNNNNNNNNNNNNNNNNNNNNNNNNNNNNNNNNNNNNNNNNNNNNNNNNNNNNNNNNNNNNNNNNNNNNNNNNNNNNNNNNNNNNNNNNNNNNNNNNNNNNNNNNNNNNNNNNNNNNNNNNNNNNNNNNNNNNNNNNNNNNNNNNNNNNNNNNNNNNNNNNNNNNNNNNNNNNNNNUACUCUCUCUCUCUCUCUCUCUCUCUCUCUCUGUGACCGGGUCUAACUCCAUCGUCAGCUGAUGACAAGUAAACGUGUCUUGCAUCGUAGCUUUUGCAUUGGCACAUAGGCACAAGACCCCAUCUAAAAAAAAAAAAUUCUAGCCCAAAAAAUAUUAUUUAAAUUGUUUCAUUUUAUGCAAAUAUUUAAAAGUUCUUAGACGAAUAAUCGAUAAUUGAACUAUAACAAACGCAAGCAUGCAUGGAUCCUCACAUUAUAAUUUCAAAAUUACUGAAAAUCAAAAUUCAAAUAUCGUGAAGAAAGCAUGAAUUUCUUUCCUAAAGAGAAAAGUUCCAAUUUCUCAACAAUGGGGUUCCCUAUAUCCACGAUAAAAAAAUGGAAGAAUUAUUGGGAAAAAAAGUAGAAUUUUGACCGCAGAAGAUUUUACGAUGGAAAAUGCUUUAUGCACCUGCUAUGCUACACGCACACAAAAUAUUCAUCAAAUCCAUAAUUUUGCCAAUUUUGGCUCCAUCCUACCUUUUUAUAGCAACAAAUCUAGCAGGUCGCACGAACCUUCGUAUGACAUAUAAUUGAGUGGCAAAAUUAUUAUAAAUAUGAAGAUUUAUUGUUCUCUACGAAAAUUUUAAUAAACUGAAAAUUGAAACUAAAAGUCAUUCAUUUACUUUUUUGGAAAAAAAACUAUUCAUUUAGUUAAGUACGUUGGAGUUAAAUAAUCAAAAGAUCAAUAUAAAUUCAAUCAAAAUUUAGCUAGCAAGAUCAAUUUUGAUUUCGAGAAGACUCAACGUACCUUAUUGACAAAUUUUGCCUAAAGCUAGUCAUUUGGGCACACCAAUAUCGUGAAAAAUAGUGAAAUUUGCUUAUAUAUAAAAUGGGAGUAAGGAAAAUUUUAGCUACUUUUCUUCACUUCAUCUCCUACAUAAACCUAAUUUAAUUGUGAGAAAGCACAAAUAUGGAGUCUAAUGCAAGAAUCUUGCAAGAUUUGGAUGUACCCGGGUCAUAUUUACUUUCUUGCUUAGGUUAUGUAAUUUUUCUCAUUUAACUCUCGCUUGUUUAACGAAAUUGUCCAACAUUUUUGCAUUGCAUGAAAUCUCAAAUCUAUGGCAAGUUAAUAUAUGAAGCUAUUAAAAUUAUUUAAUACCUUUACUUUAGGAAAUCAUUAUUAAGAGAUCUUAUAUGUAUAACACCAAGGGUAAUUUAUGGAUUCUAAAAUCUAAGAAAACAACCUAUUCUAAAGGAUUUAAAAAAGAUGGUAUUUUUUUUUAUUCUUUAUCUUGUUCAUAAUAACAUUUUAAUACAAAAUUCAUAUCAAGUGCAAUGGAUUCCCUCCUCUAUUAUGGGUUAUAGACCCAAAAUUUUUAUAUAUUUUAACUGAAAAAGGAGGCAGUUCAAUCUAGGCUUAUACAAUAUGAGGGUUGCUUCCUGAAAUUCUAAAAAAAUGGGGAAGAUAAAUCGUUCAGAAGAAUAUAAAGAUACAACUAUUAUAUUUUUCUCACUAUCAUAAUAACACUCUAAAUAGAAAAUAAAUUAAAUUCAUGUCAGAAUUCAUGAAACUUUAGGAUCACGGACAUUGGGUUGAUAAGAGAAUAAAUCAUUCUAAGAUGUCUAGGAAAGAAAUUUUCUUUAUGUUUGGUUUGAGAAUAGCAAAUCUACUUAUGUUUAUGGGUAUAUAUAGUUAUACCAAGAGUUAUUCUAAUUUUUAUUUGGCUACAAUUCUAGAACAGCUUAAGAUUAGGGAUUUUUUUGUUCAUAAAAAUCAAGUAAAUACUAAGCAUAUAGAUGAGAGCUUUGUGGCAGGAUUGACUUAUGAGAGCUCUUCCACGGGAUAUACUUAUAAUAACCAAGUUUGGCUUACAUAACUAUUCCUUGCUUAAACCUGUUUAAGACAACUUGACAAGCAUAUGGUGCUUAACAAGCUUUUACGUGUCUAUGUUAUUCCAUAACCAAAUAUUGCCUAAAGACCAGUUGGCAGAUAUAAGGCUUAAUUAUCAGAAGCCUGGGAUUUUAUCCCUAGGGUUUAGGCUUAUUAGAUUAGGUUUUACAACUAAAGCCUAUAUAACUAAAUUUGGGCGAAUUAAUUAAGGUUUUGUGACAAGAUAGAAUUUCCGCAUGUGAUUUACUGCUUAUUUAUUUAUUUAUUUUACUUAGAAAAAGGAGGGGGAGAGGAACCCUCACCCGCAUAGCAGCUCCCAUUGAGCCCCCUUCUAUCAAGAAAUGUUCGAUGCAGGUAGAAAUUUUGCUUAUACUCUUCCCGACCCAUGGGUCACUCCACGUGUGAGUACGUCACCCCAGCACCACCUCGGUGCCAACUGGACCAGAUAGCGUUUCCACCGAGCGUGUCCAGACAGAAGGCAUAUGGUCCCUAAUAUUUAAUCGACGCCUGUGUGUUUCGAACUUGAACUGCGCCGGUGGAAGCAAAGUUCCGUUCCAACUAUGCUACCAUCCUGGUUAUAAAAUAUAAAAAAAAUUAAAUCUUUCUUGUUUGAGGAUUCCCACAACAAUUAUAGUUUUUUUUUGGGUUUUAUUGUGCGUGUCUUGGACCAGAGCUCGUGUUAUUAUUAAUAAUUUAAUUUGUUGUUUUUUCCUUAGAUGAUGAAUCAGAACCUAGAAUAUUUCUUUAUAAGUAAGAGACUUGACAGCUUCUAGAUUCCGAUUACAUUCAACCGUUCGCCUGCUGCCUGGGGUACCUUCCUGAAGAUGUGGCGUUGCCUUCAACUGCUUAAGACCUCAAAGUAAGACGUCAAGUAGCUGCAGGUUCGUGGGAAGAAAAGUAAAAAUCAAUAAUACAGAUAAAGGAACUUCAGCAUUAGCUCUAAAAAAAGUUUCCCUAAUGUCAGGAAAUGAAAAGAAGUAGACAUACAUCUUUGAAGAAAGAAAUCAAUCCAAGUAUGAGGUCUAAGCUUCCAUGCAUCGUCGAGGCCUAGAUUACUUAUGACCUGUGAUGGCAGUUUUGGUUCCAUGCCAUCAAUGAAUAGGAAUUCCAUUAUUGUUGGAGCACCUUCUGCGUGCGUGCGUGCGUGCGUGCGUGCGUGCGUGUGUGUAGUGAGCCCUGAUUUGCAGAUACCAUGGACGCCCAUAUCCUGAUGAGGGAACUUGGUGUUGGGAAAAAAAAAGAAUCAUACUCCGAUAGAAAGUGUCUAGAAUCAAAUAAAUGUUGGUUUGUAAGCCCUAUACUCCAACAAUCCAACAUCACUAGAUGGGAGGCAAAAUGGAUUGUCCUGCUCUAGCGUGGAACCACUCAAUUCCUACCGAGCAGACCCUAGAGCCGAACAACCCUCGAGCAAGUAAUGACGUCUCGGGUCUGAGCUUUGGGUGCCCUGCAGGAUCGACCAAGAGCCGAAGAGCCCCGUCGACUGCAAGUAUCUACAAUGAUGCCCCUCGAGCCGGGCUUAGAGCGCCCUGCAGGAUUGACCAAGAGCCGAAGAGGCCCCGUCGACUUCAGGUAUCUACAAUGACGCUCCUCCAGUCGGGCUUGGGGCGCCCUGCAGGAUCGACCAAGAGCCAAAGAGUCCCGUCGACCGCAGAUAUCUACAAAGACGCCCCUCGAGCGGGGCUCGGGGCGCCCUGCAGGAUCAACCAAGAGCCGAAGAGGCCCCAUCGACCGCAUGUAUCUACAAUGAUGCCCCUCGAGCCGGGCUCGGGGCGCUCUGCAGAAUCGACCAAGAGCCGAAGAGGCCCCAUCGACCACAGGUAUCUAUAAUAACGCCCCUCGAGCCGGGCUCGGGGCGCCCUGUAGGAUUGACUAAGAGCCAAGGAGGCCCGUCGACCGCAAGUAUCCACAAUGACGCCCUGGCCCAAGCUCGGGGCGCCCUACCGAGCUAACUUCAGAACCGAGGAGGCUAGGCCGACCUUAUAGUCCGCCGAGCCGACCUCGCUAAAUAUACUAAUCGGCCGCAGGUAACGGCGCCCCGAUCUGAGUGGGAGCGUCCUGCAGAGUCAACUAAGAACCGAGGAGACUGGGCCGACCUCAUAGUCCGCCGAGACGAUCUCAUUGAACAUAUGUUGUGGCCUCCAUGUCAGCCCGACCUUAGUGCUUAUCAAGCGAAUAAAUGUUGCGACCUCCAAGCGAGCCCGACCUCGCCCACAGCCGCAUCCACGUGCGCACUUACGCGCGUCCCUACGCCCGCAUACGUGGCCGUACAUUACAACCUCACCGUGCUAUGCUUUACUUGCUGGCCACUCCAUAACAUGUCGACUAGAGGCCAUACCUUGUUGCCAAGGGCCAUACCCUGCCACCUUAGUUAACGCCACGCCGUUCACAAGAACAACGUGCACCGUGUGCCUCAACCAAGUCCUGGUUACAUGCCACCUGGCCCAACAUCAUCUCCUCUCAUGAUGAGGACGGAUCAUACCUCCAUUAUCUGGACAUAUUUGCAGGAACUAUAAAUAGCCCACAUCAGGUAAUGCCUAGGGACUUUUGGACCAAUUAGGAUCCACUCUAACUUAAUCAUCGGAGGGCCAUCACCGAAAUCCACCGGUGAGGCUUCGUGCAGGUACACCGGUGCGCACGAGUUGACGCUCUUUCUCCGUCCCGACUGGCGGCUCCUCCGACUCCUCUGGCGUAGUCGCCCUGAGGCCAAAUUUCAACCAUAACAUCACUAAUCCCAUUCUUAUUUUAACAUCUAGACGUAUGUUCUGCAUGAAGUUGAUCACUUGCUCAACGUAUCUGCUAUAUUUCUGAGGCUGAAGGAAUAAAUUUAAAGAACAUGACACGUAGUUGAUUGAAUGCGAGUCAUCAUUAUCAUCUUCUUGAGUCACUAUUGCAGCUCAAGAGUGAUCCUCCAAUAUCCUUUUUCCAGGCAUUCAAAUUAAUACAUGACAUCAUGAGAAGAUAGUCGACGAUAGCUAGAAAUCUAUUCAGUUAACGAGCCAUUUGGUUUCGGACUUGAGCUAGGAUGGUGGUGGUCUUGUAUCCGGAUAUAGGGAACAAGCCAAGCCAAAUGGUGAAUAUGGCUACACUUGGGUUUGAGCUUGGUGGGAUGGCCCGGGGUGGGAGGAGAACAGGAACAGGACCGUGUUGUCGCCUGCCGCUCUAUUCCUCGUGCACGGCGGACGGAGGAGGGGAUGGAAACAAACGCGGCCACGUGACGCUGGGCGCUUUGGACGGGAGAGCCAGGAGGCAGCCCUUGUCCUUAGCCUUGGCGGCUGCCAGGAGCCAGGAGAGAGUAGAAGGGCUAAUAUAACACAGGGUAUCGUUUGUGAGCUCCUUCUACUCCCCGGGCCCCAUCCUCCACCUCCAUGCCUUCUUUAUAUUUACACCUUUCGAAGAAUGUUGCCUCAUUUGAGGACAGACAUUAGGACAAAUAGCCAAUUAUUCCCUCCCACCUCCCUCUACCUCUCUCUCCCCCCUCACUUUCUCUCUACUGUUAAUGCUUGUGUCUUGUAGUUAUACACUUUCUAGUGCAGUACAGAGAAGAGUUAGAGUGAGGAAGGUAAAAUCCAAAACAAGAGUUUAAAAGAAGAAUCACCCUCCUCCUUUCCACCGGACUAACUACAAAAAGGAGGUCCUAGCGGCAAGGCGCUGGGGACAAAAGAGAUGGAAAAACUAGUUGCGAACGGGGACAAGCCAGUGCUGAGAGGAUAUCGAUCCGAUCGCCUGUUUGGUAUGCCGUCCCUGCAUCAUUAUCACUAUCUCCCGUUCCCAUAAAAACAUAUGCCAUCGAAGCUUGUUCUUUUGCCUGCUGCUCCUAUAUAUCAUAAGCCAAAUUGGAUGCUCCUAACUCCCUUUCUCCAUUUUGUAGCUCGAAAAUGAAAAAAAAAAAAAGGAAAACAAAAAGAAGAGAAAAAAAAGUAGAGAGCGACAAUAAGAGAUGCUUUGGCCUUUAUGAGCUAUGGUUUUCACAGGUGGUAUUAACAGUGGCUGCUCCAGUGAAAAAGGGUAACAGGUUUCUCUGCUCCUCCGCUUGCUUCUGUUUUAUUUCCUAGUCUCGUUAUUUUUCUUCACAUCAUAUCUUCCUCCCUCCCUCCCUCCCCCAAGCUAGAUAGUUGGAUCGAAAAGAUUUCACCAGCUAACAAAAAUGAACAAAAUAAGGAACAUCCCCGGCUAUGCCUUCACUGCGGCGCAGUCCCCUCGGCCUGGAGGAUCCACUUGGUGAAGGCAUCGAGCGUCUUCAUGUCGGCCCUGUAGUGCUUCUGGGUGAACUCGAGCAACGUCGACCACGUGAAGUCCGGGUAGGCCCUCGGGUGCCCGGCGUUCACCAAGCCCUCCGGCGGCCGCACUAUCUUGUUCAUCUCCGGGCACAGAAAGAAGGCCAAAGACUUCCUCGCCACCUUGCUGUUCACCACCGCCCGGUGCAGGCAGCUCUUGUACCGCCCAUUCGACAACGCCUGCAAAUCCGAUAGCGGUUUUAAUGCCUUCACUUCUCGUCGCAAAAAAACUCGAUGACACAUUUCGCAUGAGCAGAGUGGAUUAUGCGUACGGUGCAUACCAUGAAGGUGUCGCCGAUGUUGACGACGAAGGCAUUGAGUUUGGGGCUGAUGGUGCGCCACUUGCCAUCGGUGAACACCUGGAGGCCGCCGACGUCGUCCUGGUGAAGGAUGGUCAGGGAGGUGGGAUCGCAAUGGGGGCCGGUGCCGAGGACCAGCUCGGGCUUCUGGCACCGUGGGUAGUAGUUCAGCCUCAUGAUCGAAUCAUUCCCUUGGAAAAACUCCCGAAAAUGUGCCCGCCCCACCCCAAGGCUCAUCCCAAGAACCUCCAUUAUCUCCAAUGACAGCCUACUCAUCGCCUCGCAGUAGUUUUGGUAGAUUGUGCUGCAAAACCCAAAAAAAACAAAGCACAGUCACUAAUGAGAGAGAGAACAUUGCUUGUGUUCAUGUCAGCCUUUUUUUUUAUUCCUACCCGAAGUGCCGGAAAUCUUCGCCGAGAGUGUGGACGAAGUAGUCCUGGACGAUAUUUGGGGAGAGAGGAGAGGGGGAGAAGCGAAAAGAAAGGGUCUCCUUCCACGGGAGCCGAUUGGCGAACCUCCCGGUAAAGCUGCUCGCGUAGCCGCAGCUCUCGCCGGGCUUCCUCUGGGCUCUCUGCUUCUCGGAGAGAGGCAUCGAGAAGAAGGCCUCGACGCAGCUAUGGACCUCAGAGAGGAGCGCCGAGGGGAUGCCGUGGUUGACGACCUGGAAGAACCCGUGCCGCUCGCACGCCUCCCCGACGCGUCUGGAGACCUCGGCGGUGGCGGCGGGGUCGCCAGAAAGGAAGCCGCCAAGGUCGAUCAGAGGGACGGUGAGCUCCUCGGCGGCGUCCGGGGUGGGCUUAUCCUCCUCCGGCCAGACGAAUUGGACCGGAAUGUCAGGGCGCUGGCUGAGGAUAGCCGCGUCGAACACCAACGGCGGCGGCGUCUGCUGGGCUGAGCUGCUCAUCAGCCGCGGUUCCGGUGUGUCCGGUCUGGCCUCCGGCGUGGCGACCGAGGGGACUACCAUAGAUUUCGGCAGUUUUUUCGUUUAAUUGGGGAUAGGAUGAAGUACGGAGGGUGGAGGAAAUGGAGAGAAAUGGGUGGGAUUGAAGAGAGGGAGGUGCGAGAAGGGAAAAGCCAAGGCCGGUGUACAAAAUUAUGCAAUCUCAAGGAUUCAAUCUCGUCAUAUCUUCUGGCCUUACUUACUGCAGCUCUUCCCCCUCCCCCUCCCACACCACAAACAUUAUAUAGUGGGAGGGCUGAAGGCUGUUUUGCUCCGGGUUCGGCUUGUAUCUUUCGCGCGAAAGAGUGAUCGAUCCUCUUUCGCGACGCCGACCGUUGGAUACCUCCUUGCAGAGAUUGCAAAGCAUUCCGAUUUCUCUUAUUGCGCGAUCCGACGGUGGAUUCGCGCGAAGCAAGGAGAAUCCUUCUUUCGCGCGAAAGAUACAACCCCAGUACGUUUUGCUCCUCAGUGGGCAGUUCUCGGUGCGGCAAAUCAGGGCCAUUCAUCAAUAUUUUGUCCUAAAUGAUACAAUUUAAAACAUCAUUAGUAUAAUAAUGUUUUUUGUGGAUUUGCUCCCUGUGAGAAGGGAAAGCAAAUCUAGUGCCAUAUGCCAUAUCUGGCCAAUGAAAGCAUGUCAGUAAAUAACAAAAGUGCAACACAAAAUAUUAUAACAAUGGAUACUAGAAUAUUAUCCGCCAGUGCACGGUUUUCUAAGAUUUUUUUAUUUUUUUUUGAAUUUCGAAGAGAGGUUGAAUUUUCCCUCUCCUACCCAUUUAAUGUAUAUUUAGAGAUAGGGAUUUGAUCUUACUUCUUAGUUAUCCACUUUACAAAGUAACUCUAAAUUCAUAUAUUUUAUAUUUUUAUAAUAUAAAAUAAAUUUAAUUUUUCAAUAAAUAAUUAAAAAAUUUCAUGAAAUUUAUUUUAAACUUUUUCCCUGCGUAUGUUUCCUUUUUUUUAAACAUGAGGAUUUUUAAUAUAUUUAAAUAUCUUUAACAUAUUUAUAUAACUUUAACGUAUCUAGAUCAUUUUUAUUUAAAAAAUUAUGGAUAUUUUAGAUAUUUUUUAUGAUUUUUUUAAUUGUUUUUAAAUUUUUGAGUAAGCUUGAGUUUCCUCUCACCUUUUUAUAUAUUAGGUUGGGAGAUGGAGAUACAAACAAAAAUUCAAUAAUAGUCCAAAUAUUUUUUUUAUUAGUCUUAAAUUUGAUCUCUAGGUUAUAAGGUUAUUGAUGCAGGAGUAUGAGCCCAAACUGGAGGCGCGUGGGGUGAUUGAGUUCCUUCCUUGGGUGAGCAACAAAUCACAUUGGGUCCAAAAACUUCCGGCAACAAAUCACGGUGGGUCCAAGAUUUUCAGCAUCAAGUCACAUUGGGUUUAGUUAUCCCAACGCCUAAUUUAAUUGAAUCCAAGGCGUUGAAGAGUCUUGAUUUAAUUUAGGAGUUAUUUGAUUGAGUCCAUGUGUGAGAGAAAUGAGUCCUUGUGCGAGAGGAUUGAGUCCAUGUGUGAGAGAAUUGAGUCUAUAUGUGUGAGAUUAAGUCCAUGUAAUAAGUGGUUUAAUCUACAUUGGGUUUAAUUGUUCCAACGCCUAAUUUAGUUGAGACCAAGGCGUUGGAGGGUCAUGAUUAGCUUUAGGAGUUGUAUGAUUAGCCCAUGUGUCAAGAUGAGAAGAGUCCACUUUGAUUAGGAUUCUAAACCAUGGCGGCAUGAAGAGUCCUAGCUCCCUUGGACUCUAUCUCAAUACGCCAAGUGGAAGUCUAAUUGUGGUAGGAGUUUGGAUGGUUGACCCAUUCAAACAAAAGGAGACUUAGGCAUAGGUGAAGAGCAUCUAUAGGAGGCGUAUAAGAAACCUAUUUCACAUGCCAAGAGGUGGUUCCAAGGAUUGGAUAAGCUUUAGUUAGUAAGUUAUUUAGAGGAUUUAAAUUUUAGAAAGAGUCCUUGUGGUUAGGAGUCCAAAAAAAAAUUCUGGUUUUAACUUCCUAUAUUUGCCAACCUCUUUCUAUAUAAGGAAAGAUAAAGAAUGAAAUCAGAAUUAGAAUUUGUUUUCAAGCUUGAGUUUUCUUCCAUGGAAAGGAGAGAAUCCUUUUCUUCCUUUGGUGUGACGCCAAGGGGGAUGAAGGAAGAGAGGUGAGAUGCCAUCUUCCCUUCUCUCAUCCGUUGGAUUGUUUGAGGGAGAGAUUCUCUCAAACGACUCUAUAUUUAUCCUCCCAUAUUUCACGCUCAUCUAUAUUCACGCCUUUUUAGGAUUAGCUACGUUAACUCCUUUUUAACUUCUCAUCCUUAUCCACAAAGCUCACGCCAAUAUUUCCUUGCGCCAAUCUUUCAUCCACUAAAAUCCCAUCGUGCCACCUCAUCUCCUCCCAUCCGCUGCUCCUAAUCUCAUUAGAAUUCUGAUUAAUCCAAGUUUCAUGCCCCAAACCCUUCACACUUAAACCCCAUCACAUCCUCCCUAGAGUCCCUCCCCAAAUGAAACUCUAACUAACCACAUUUCAGCCUAACCAACAUUUGGUCCAACCAAUUUCAGCCGCCACCUCAAAUUGGUGUCCAAUUUUAGUCAACCGGUUACUCAUCCUCGAGCUCAAUAUGAUUCAACCAGCAACCCACCUUCUUCCUCCUCCAUUCCACCCACAAAGAACCCUAGCCGCUAUUGUCAAAGAAAGAAGAAAAAAAAAUUUCUGCAACCCACCUCGACUGGGUCCAGUAUUCUAUUUUCAUCAAGGGGUGAAUGAUUAUGGAUUGGCUUGAUAUUGAGGUUCCAGUGAAACAUAAAUCCCCAAAUAAUAAACUUAAACAAGAAACCUUAUAAAUCAUUAAUUUUUAUUACUAACACACAUACUAUAUAUAUAUAGUAUAUAUAUAGUAUAUACUAUAUAAUUUUUAUAUAUACUNNNNNNNNNNNNNNNNNNNNNNNNNNNNNNNNNNNNNNNNNNNNNNNNNNNNNNNNNNNNNNNNNNNNNNNNNNNNNNNNNNNNNNNNNNNNNNNNNNNNNNNNNNNNNNNNNNNNNNNNNNNNNNNGUAUAUAUAAAAUUACAUGAAUGGAAAUUGAUGAAGAUAAAAACCUAAAAGUGGGCCAAAACAUAUCUCAAGAAUAAAAAAAUCUGCUUGGUAUAGUUUUAAAUAUGUAAGAAGAGAGACAAAAUGAUUAACAUAAAUGGUAAAAUUUUCAUUAUACAAAAAAUGCUUUAUGUUUAGUAUUACUAUGGUAAAAGAGACGAGUAGGACAAAAAAAAAAAGAAUACAAAUGAGAAAGAGAGAGUAAGAAAUAGUUUAAUUGCAUAUAAUUAUUUCAAACUUGAAAACUCUUAAUUUUUCAUACAAUAUAGAUAAUUGAAAUGAAAAUCACACUUGUCCAAUUCAUCCCUGAAUUGUUAUUUUUUAAAAACAAAAUAGCAGCUGCUAUAAUUGUUAUCCUUAGUUGUAGUAAAAAGAUUUUGCACAUAAUUAAAAAACAAGGAUAGUUGUUGUUAAAAAAUCAUGUAAUUAUUCUUUGAAUGCCAACAUCUUAUUGGCCAAGUUGGAUAUUCAAUUGUAAAAAUAAAUGGAAAUCCUUUAUAUAAACAGUGACCAUACAAAGAAAAACUGAAACAACGGCCGUUUAUUUCAGUUACCGGCCGCGGAAGAAGUUUGGGCGUGGCGCGCGGGGAAUCCGCCUCGGCGGAAUCUGGCCGUUUGCAGGGGGCUUCGCGCGCGCCCAAACGAUGCAAAAAUUAUGGGAUGGAACGCGAAUUGUUGGCGUUGGGCCCAGGUUGGAAACCUUGCCCGUAAUAGCUAGUAGUAAAAGCUUAACGCGUUUUCCACCAUUAGAAUUUAUUGGUUGAUUAAUUAUACCAAACUUAGUCGGCUUUACAAAAUUUUAUUUUAAUUAAUUUAUGAUUAAUUGUGUCAAAUUUAGCCAGGUUUAACAAACUUUCUCAAUCUUUUAGUACUAUAUAAAUAUAAUUCUCUUCUCUAAUUCUUCUUUUUCAAUAUCCACAUCUGAGUGCAAUAGGGCUCCCUCCUUAGUUUUCCUUAGAUAAAGAAGGUAAGGGCCAGUGCUUCGUUUCUUGAUUUCUUGUUAUCCUUAGCCAAACAGGAUAAGGAGAUGGAUAGAUCCCAUCAUCUCAUGCUGCUCUGAUCAGGCCAUAAUUAUAUGUAUUAGAAAAUUAAAAAAACCAGCCAUGAAUUGAGAAGCUCUGACGGUAGGGUUGGCAGUGUUGGUGUUAAAUUAGCCUUUUUGUGUCAGUACUAUUUGAUCAUUAUUGAUUAGUUAGGAGUGAGGUCCAAAGACAAUGUUAGCUGUAGAUCGCUGGAUAUAUCUGUGAUGCUAUAUUUCUUAAGAACGACCAGUGCCCACUAACCUCGAUUCUCUACAUCGUAGAAAACUGAACUAAAUUGGUCUAUUAUUGGGCACAGCCAGGUUGGGGGUUGCAAGAUUGGGCCCACUACUUCGCCCUGUGUGACUACUGGAUAAAAGUGCGGUUAGAGAGACCAGUCCAGUCCAAAACAAAUCCAGCCUUUGUGAUAGAUACUACAUCGUAUGAACAGGCAAGGCCAAGGUGGGCCGCGGCCUGGAGACUUCUCCAACCUCAUUCUGAUAUUUACUUUGGGAGAAGGCUUGUAGUUCUACUGCCGGCACCGGAGUCUUCGUUUUCGUGAAGUUUUUUUUCCGUACGUCAAGAUGACGCUGGUCGGUGUGGAAUGUCGUGAUUCAGCUAUCUUCUCGUGAAUCAAAAAUGGCGAGCAGAGCCCUAUCGCAUCUCUUUGGCGAAAUCUCCAGAUAAGCAUCUGGUUAGAAAUUACAGUAUGCUGUCGUAACCUGCCACAACUGGCCAUCCAUGAUUGCUGUAAGAUGGAAGCUCUGUUGCUUGACCGGCCAAGAGGUUUUAAGCCCGAAGCACCGUCAGCCUAGGUCUAGGAAAGCGAUAAACUGAUAGUACUGGCGAGAACUGCCAAAACCAUUCAGGCUGGCCAAGCCAAUUUACAGGGGAGCGCCCGAGAUACUCCGGUGCUCCUGCUCCCAUAAAACUCGCUUGUUGGUUGGGGUGGGGGUGUCUGUCUUCACGCGGGCCGGGCAAUUAUUGGAGGGUAGCUGCGUGAUAAGAGGGACUUCAUUGUCCCAGAAUUUGGACCGAAGUUGGAGGGCAGUUUGGACGGCUCUGAAGUCGGCUGGUAUCAAGCUGAGUAGACUGGUUGAAGCGCGUUGGCACCGGCUUCCUCCAAGAAUGGCCUGCAAGAAGCCCGCUUGGCGGAGUCUCUCCAGCGGAGACACUCCGAUUCUUAAGUUAAAAUAGAAAGGCAACAUUAUGAAAGAAAAAGUAUUUCAGCAGAGUUUGGUCUCUAUGAGUAGUAUCGCAUGCAUGCAUAUGCGUGUAUAUACGUAUAUAUUAUAUAUACUAUAUACCUGAGGUCCCCUAGGUUGUCUCUUUAUAUAGGAGAGCUCAUUUUGUGAUUACUUGGGCUGAUGUGGCGUGCAUUGAUGGCCAAGUAAUGACUGGUAAUGCAGUCGUGACGUAGGAGCCAGUCUGCGUGGGCAAUAUGUAGCACUAGUGGGGCGCCGGCCAUGGUGCUACAACGAUUGCAGGCUGCUAGAACUGUCGGUUAUUAAGACUUCCAAUCCUUAUCAACACGUGCCAAUUGUUCUCCUUUGCUGAUUGGCUUCACGGUCGGUGGCUCCUCGAUCGAUCAAUUCUUCGAGCGAGGCCAAAGUCAUUCUCUUCGGUUGGUUGGCUGCUCAGCUGGGGUCGAAGUUAUUUUCCUCGAUUUAUAUCCGAGGUCAUAAAAGUAGGUCUAACCAUAGGUCGAGGUAGCCAAUAUUUUCUCAUCGGACUUGUUAAGGGGCGCUGUAGUGUUACAAACCUAUCAACUUUGUCUUCUUGUGUAAUAGAAAACACGAUGUUACAAAAUUCAUCAAUUUUGUUAAUUAGCGCCGAUGCCCUUCGAACAGAUUGAGCUCUCUUAAUUUAUCGAGCAACGAGCUUUGCUCCAAGAAAAUUUUUAAGUGAGCUAAAUCAGUGUUCAGGACCUGUAGACCCGGACCAAACCGGAAUGGUUACUGGGUCGUGUCUGCGAUUCAACCGCGGCUUCAAGAACAGAUGCAUCCAUACCUGCUCUCUCCUCCGUUUUCGAGCGUCGCUACCGUGGAGACCCUCAAACUCGUCGAGCCUUCCAUAUCCUCAUCUCUGAAACAUCAAGAGCCCCCAUGCCCACCUGCCCUGUUGUUACGUCGUCACCAUCUCUCAUCAUUGAAUCUCUAUUCUUUCCUUGUCGAUGGCUCGAGAGGGGAGAGAGGAGAAGUAUUUAGGAUUGCGCGUAUUGAUAGAGGAUAUGGAGAUCUUGUUCCCCUUCCCUCACUGGUGGAACCACGAGCAAUUUUAUUAUUGACCCGGCGGUCCGGACGGUUGAAUCGAAGGGUUUUAAAAAAAUUCUGGGUUUUUCCUUGACGUGCCCGUAUUGCUGAACGGUUGGCGGGAUGACCGGGUCGACACGGAUGGGUCCACCGAGUUCAAGAACGCUAUGGUAAAUGGCCAGUCUCCCAUAAACAAUCCUAUAAGGGCUCAUACUUUAGGGGUAAAAAAAACUUACCUAAAAUCUAUAUUUUUCUUAAUAAAUAUUUUCUAAAUAAUAUUUAGAUUAAAAAAAUAAAAAAUAGCUUCGAAAUUUUUUACAUUACUACUUUAAUUAUAUUAUUAACAUAUUUUAUAAUAUAUUAUAUAAUUUUAUUAUAUAUUAUAUUAUAUGUUGUUUUGGAUGGACAAAUGGAUCGAUGAGAGCGGCGGAUAUAUGGAUCCACAAAGAAAACAGAAUGUGUCGGGCAUCGGGUGACUCAGGAAUGAGGAAUGAGGAGGGGAUCAAGAUUAAAGAUAUUUUAGAAGCAAAAUAAUUUAUCCAUAUGGGUAAGUUUUUCUAUUUAUUUCGUGGGUCAAUGUUGCCCAUAAAAUUAUAACUAAGUGGCAUAGAAAAGUAUCUUAAUAAAAAAAUUAAUCAACUUUUUCAUCGUAUUUACCUAUAUAUCAUAUUGAAAAGGGCAUGUGCCCCGUGCGUGAUCGGCGCACUCAUCAAACAGCCAACAGCUCCGCGAGCCCCACACCUGAUGCCAACACGCGAGCCCUGACACGCGCCUCAAUCAUCUGUGGCACAUGCCAGGCACACGUGGCCCCAGCACAGAAAAAGCUCCAAGUCCGUACGGUUUAUAAUUUUAAUAUCUUAAAACACUAUUUUAAGUUCCACCAGGCACUAAGGUUAACCAAGAAUGGCAAACAGGAGGACAUAUGUAACAGUCCUCAUCAUGGUAUUUUGCCACUAUAGUCUAUAGUCCUCACAUAGCUACAUUCUCUAGACCAGUAGUAUAAAAGCCACCUCAAUGCUUCUCACAGUUCCCCAACUCUUUGAACUACCAAAUUUGGAGUCAUUCAGCUAAUAUAUUUUGUCAUUAUUGGGUUACAUUAUUUCCUUGCAAUUAUGUAUUUUGUCCAUCUUAUUGUGACAGCAUAUAACUUCAUGAUUCUUCAAACAGUCCAAAAUAGAUUUGAUGGACAACGUGCAUAGGUGGAAGGCCCUAAUAUGGUUUAAAAUCGUCAUUAACAAGAGGCCUUUUAACUUAUAAACUAUUGUGCCCUAAUUAGAUCAGUUUUAUUAUUUAUUAUGAAUUGAGAUCAUUAUUGUUCACGGAUUUUGAGGUCGUGAUAAAUUUUUUAGAUCUAACAUAUUCUUUAGGGCUCUGUCUAGGGAGUGUGCGGUCGUAUCACAUUUUGGACCUGGAUGUUGGGUUUGAGACGUGACAACAUUCUUCCUUAUUUGGUAUAAUGAGAUCGUGGUAAGCUGUAAUGCUAUUUUUCUAAAGAUUCGUUUGGCCAUUGAUUCCAUAUGUCGCAUGUCAUCGGGCUAUAUAUUGGUCGACUAAGCUGGCAGACACAAUUUUAAUGGGUACUAAAUCCAGACCAUAUCACUUGCAUUCUUAUUAAUAAUGCAUUCUGAUGAUUCCAGUUAGGUGGCAAGCAUUGGGUCCGAGACAGCUAGCAAAGUCUCCAAGCUUUAGGCCGUACUAAUCUCAUCAUAUUGUUCGAGGAAAAAGAAACCCUCUGGACCAUACAAAUACUUUCCAAAUGUUUGUCAUCUGGCAGCUGAAAGUGAUGUUCCAGUUGUUCCUCGUGCAAUAACCAACGAAGCGCAUCAUAUCACAGAAGCAGUUGGCGGAGAGAAUUUUGGCCUUACCGAUCCUAUCCCGGAUGGAGCAUAAUAGAUUGGUCUGGCUACCGACAAGCCGGUCGAGGGUACGUGCCAGAGAUAUUCAUGCUUGGGCUAGUAGGGAGCCGGAUAGACGAAUUGAUGGUGAUUGGAUAUGGAGGAUGAGGGUGCAUCCCCGGGUGACGCUUUUUCUUUGGAAGGUGGCCUGGCGUUGCCUUCCGACCAGAAGUAUGUUGGCCAAGCGGAGGGAUGAGGAUGACUCCGCUUUGCGAGGGGUGCCUGGAGGCUGAGGAGACUAUUAGUCAUGUACUUCUUCGAUGCCUUAUAGCCGUGCAGUGCCGAAGACGUGCAUCUACGCUACUCCCUCCGUCGUAGGAGUCGCUGGAGGAUAUGUUCCGGUACCUGAGUGAGUCUACUCGGAGGCCGAGUUUAGCUGAGACGGGCAUUAUAGUGGCUUACUUAGGUGAUCUUCUCUUGAGUACCUCCACCUCCUAGUUAUCUUAAGGUGAUCUUUGAUGGUGGCACGACGGAGGAUGGCGCUUCCAGGGGCGUUGGUUUUGUGAUCAGGGAUCAUGGGGGCAGCUUUAUCGUUGCUGGAGGGCGGAGCACACCAGGCAUGACAGCUGUGGGAGCGGAGUUGCGGGCAGCCUGAGAGGGCGUUUUGUAUGUGAGACGGAUGCUAGAGGCUGACAGGCUUGUUCUCGAGAGUGAUUACUCUCCGGUGAUUGACUGGAUGCGAGAAGUGGAUACAUAUGGGAACGACCACCCCUGAUAUGGGACACUCGCAGUUUGGUGUGAAAGCUGAUCUCAUGUCAGAUUGCUUAUGUAUACUGGGAGGCGAGCAGUGCAGCAGACUGGGUCGCCUCUUAUGUUGCCCGGCAUACUGGAGAGGUCCUCUGGACUAGCUUAGAGUGCAUUCCAUAUUCUUUAUUUUGUUUACUCUCUUUUGAUAUGUCUGGCUUUACUCACGUUAGAUAUGUAUGAAAUAAAAUACCGUUUUGACCCAAAAAAAAAAAAAAAAAAAAACGACGCAUCAUAUCACCAAAAAGAUGUCAUGACGGCAUCAGGAGAGGAGGGGGCCUCUGUUUCACGAGGAGGAACUAGUCAGGCGCUUGAUGCAAGGCGAGCUUGGAGGCGCGAAUCUGCCCUGCCCAAAUAGCUCUUUCUCAUGGGCAAUAAUAGUUUUGUCACCUUAAAAUACCGAGCUGUUUUUACUUCAGAAUCCCUUGCAGACCUGGGUAAAUUGCUUGGAUAUAUAUAACCUAGAGGCUUUCUUCCCAAAACCAUCCAUUACUUACACCAGUUUCAGAAUGAUUUACGACCCACAAAAAAAAAAGGGUGAAUGCUCAUUACAAUAUUGUGUCACAAGUGCUUGGCUGCUUGGUAGUUGGGGCUUACUAUUUUACGAAUUUUUCCACCUUCAUUCUUAUCCAGUGAUAGUUGUUCAAGAUAGUCCUGUAGAUUGGUUUGUAGUGGCCAGGUGAAUAUUGUUUCAAAAAUGUGUCUUACGGCUCUAGUAGAAGUGAAGCUGCCAUUCCUAUAGUUCUAUAUCACUGCACAUCGCAUAUCAUAUGAAGGCAGUCUCCUUUCAAUGUCGUGAUUAACAUGAUCACAUCUCUGUAUCUUUUGAUUUGUUCUUCUUUCUGCAUUGCUUAUCUUUCUGCUUCCAAACUGUGUUUUCUUGUUCUUUCUCCUGUCUUCUGCUGCUUCUGAUGUACAUACUUCUACUAAGUUUAAUAAAAUCUGGUGGCAUGCUUGGGAGACGACUGGCUUCUCCGGUUCGACCAUGACCUAGAGAGUAUUCUAAAAUAAACAUAACUGCCUUGACUACUAUUAUUGUUAAUAAUCCACUAAUUUUAAUUGUACAUUCUUUAUCUUUUAUUUUAAAAGAAAAAAAGUUUGAGUUCGGCCAUGCUGAAAUCAGCCAACUUCAAAUCAGUGAAGCAAGUAUAGCAAUGGUGUGAACUUAUCGAUGCAUAAAAAAAGGUAUCAGGGAGAAGUGAGAAAUAACCCAGUCCCCGCUUCCCCCCUCCCUUCAAGAGAAAAAGAAAAAAGAAAGAAAAAAAAUUCAUGGUACAUGCAGAAUAUAAGUAUUUAUUAAUUAUAAAGUGAUCAUUCAUGUUUUAUAGAGUUUCCAAGUUGUACCUCCUAGAAAUCAUGUAAAUAUUUAGAGUUCUACUAUAGUUCACCUCGCUAAUCACUACUCAAACAACCGGUCUGAUGUGGCAGUCACGAUUUGUAAAUAUCUAGAGUGCGACCAUAGAUCCCCUCAUUGUCCCCGUCCUUGCAGUCGCCUCCUUUCGUCAGCCUCUCGCUCUCCUACUUGGAGGGGUGGUUGUUGCUACCUCCGGAGGUAAUGCAUGAAGGUGGAGGGAGAAGGAGAAAGGAAGAGAAAAUAUAUUCGCUAGAAAUGAAGGAGAAAUCUUGUUCUCUUCUCUCUUUUUUUCCUCCAAUUUUUCUCUUAUAUGUGUUGGUUUGCAGUUGACAUGAUCUAUAGAUGAUACGGUGAAUCUGAUCCAACUAAUAAUAUAUAAAUCAGUGGAGGGCCUUAGAUUCCAUCCACCUUAUCAUCAGUUAUCGGCGUGACUAGUGAUUAUUGGAGAGAGAACUUUUAGCAUUUUGCGAAGUAAUAAUUAUUUGUGUUACCUCAACUAAGUGGCACCCAACUCUCCGUGAGAGCGGUCAUAAGAUCUAAUUUAUCCCAACUGAAUGCCAGCAUGGGGAAGAUACUGUAACGAUCUAAUUUAUCUGAUCAAUAAAAUCUAAUUUAUCCCAUCAAAGUAGCAUCCAACUAAGUGGCACCCAACUCUCCGUGAGAGGUCAUAAGAUCUUAUUUAUCCCCUAAAUGCCAGCAUGGGGAAGGUGCUUUAACCAUGGGUUAGUGACCUUGGUUAGAUAUGGCAAUAAUUUUAAUCAAAGGAUCAAUAUAUCUGAUCAAUGACAUGCAUUUGGCACUCGUUGACGCCUAAGUAUGUUCGUUUAAUGGCAGCUUAAUUAAGGAUGCUUUUAACAUGGGAAAAUGGGCUGGAAAAGCCAUUCUUCAACAUGUGAACACAUAGUAUUGGGCCUUCUUUUCUUUUUUUUGUGGGACAACUGAAAAUAUUUCUUCACCAGCAGGAAUAUAAUGUGACAACUUAAUAUAGAAUUAGGAGAAAGCCUUCUAGAUGCCAUUGUAAGCUUCCUUUGCAGCCCAAGUGUUUAGUUGUCCCACUUACAAAAUACCAUUACCAGCAACCCUUUUUGUGGUGCUAAAAUUACUUUCAAAUACUUUCCCAGAGCCUUGCAAGGUUAGUCAAUUUUAAGGAAACAUAUAUGUUACUUAUUAUCAAGUAGAGCUGUUCACGAGCCAGGCCUCGGGUCUAAAUUACAUUCAUUCUUUGUUAGACUUCGGGUGGAAUAUAUUUAGAUUUUGAUAUUUUCCGUGCCCAAAUCCGGCGCAUGGUUAGCUCUAUCAUUAAGUCCAAACCGUCAAUCUUUCAUACUACUUUCCAUCUACGCUAAUCGGCAUGUACUAUUUUAAUUUGACGAUGCAUCAUAAUGUUUUGGUAUAUGUUGAUUCUAGAGAAAACCAAUCAUCUAAGAUAAUUCCUUGAUACCUUUUUCUUUUUUUUCUUAUCCUUUUGGUCACAACUGGCUGGAGAGCAAAUUGGUAAUGUCAGACUAGGCUGCGUUGGAUUUGCAGUUGCAAAAAGGCUCAAGACCUUUGCCUGCUUACCAUUUACCAUUCAAGAAGUAAUAAGACUUCUCUCUCAUACAAAUAUGUCAAAGAAGUCAUGUUGUGUUUGAUGGAAGGGGAGAUUAACUUCUUAAAGAUCUAAUCAAGAUUGUAACAAAUAAAAACAGCACCAACCUUAUACUGAUGUUGAUAUGCAGUGUUUGCUCUCUAGGACACAAAUGUACUUAAUUUGAAUAACUACAUUCAAUUAUUUGACAGUGUUCUGUCGUAAAGAAAUUCCUUGUCCAUGGGAAUCCUACCCUGUACUCUGCAAGCUGCUAAUCAUCUACUCUAGAUUAGCAAUCAAAGGGGCCCCUAUUAGCUCUUUACUGACCCUCCAUCUUUCAAGACCCUUUCGUAUUGCACCAAGAAAGGGAAAGAGCAUGGAUGGAUAAACCGAUAGGUAAUUUUAUUUAUGUUUUUGUUUUUGUUUUUUUGUUGAGAUCUCUUUUAUACAUAUUUAUAAACUGCUUAAUUUAUCAUAUUUGCAAUUUUACAUAUUGAACCUUACAAUGUAGCAAAAUUGAUGCAUGUCAUCCCUUUAAUUAAAAAAACCUACAUCAAA